rnacentral:rRNA from 1 species
UACAGAGGAUGCAAGCGUUAUCCGGAAUGAUUGGGCGUAAAGCGUCUGUAGGUGGCUUUUAAGUCCGCCGUCAAAUCCCAGGGCUCAACUCUGGACAGGCGGUGGAAACUACCAAGCUGGAGUACGGUAGGGCAGAGGAAUUUCCGGUGGAGCGGUGAAAUGCGUAGAGAUCGGAAAGAACACCAACGGCGAAAGCACUCUGCUGGGCCGACACUGACACUGAGAGACGAAAGCUAGGGAGCGAAUGGG